rnacentral:lncRNA from 1 species
CUGAAAAAAGUGGUUUGAAGUUUUCUAUAUUAUUUAUAUACUGAUUCAUAUUAACACUUUUAUUAAGUGCUAUCAUAGUGGAAUGCAUUUGGCAUUUGAUAACUGGUCAGAAGGGUGUGUGUUUGAAUCUUAUUUUUUUCAAAUUUUUUUUUUAUCAAAACUGAAAUUGAUUAAUAGUUUCUAUAUAACCAAACACCUAAUGCAGUUGUGGGAUCGGUACUUUAUUACAGCAAACACCUUCGGCAAAUACAGUUUUUUGCCAUCUUCAGGCCUUCAGCAAAAAAAGAUAACAGUUACGAAUUUAAGAACAAAUGAACUAGAAUACAAACUAUUUCCAUGGCAACCUUAAAUGCUAAUUAAUAAAAAAUAAAGGAUAAAUAAAUUUUAAAAAAAGGUGAACAUUGUGUAUCACUGCUGCAGCACAUUCUUCUGUGCGUGUAAAAUAGUGUCCAUUAGACAAAAAUACUUAG